GCCUGGGUGGCUCAGUCAGUUAAGCAACUGACUUCGGCUCAGGUCAUGAUCUCACGGUUCGUGGGUUCAAGCCCCGCAUCGGGCU
rfam:Felis catus isolate Cinnamon breed Abyssinian chromosome F2, whole genome shotgun sequence.